AAUGAACGUUGGCGGCGUGGAUUAGGCAUGCGAGUCGAGCGAGAACCGUAGCAAUACGGGGACAGCGGCGAAAGGGACAGUAACGGGUAGAUUAUCUGCCCUCAGGUUUGGGAUAGCUGCGGGAAACUGCCAGUAAUACCAAAUAGUAUCUCCGGAUCAAAGGUGUGAUUCCGCCUGAGGAUGAGUCUGCCUCCUAUUAGCUAGUUGGUGGGGUAACGGCCUACCAAGGCGUUGAUGGGUAGCGGGUGUGAGAGCACGACGCGCGUCAUUGGGACUGAGACACUGCCCAGACACCUACGGGGGGCUGCAGUCGAGAAUCUUCGGCAAUGGACUCAAGUCUGACCGAGCGACGCCGCGUGUGGGAUGAAGGCCUUCGGGUUGUAAACCACUGUCAGAGGGGAUGAAAUGCAGGUGGGUUCUCCCAUCUGUUUGACAUAGCCUCAGAGGAAGUACGGGCUAAGUUCGUGCCAGCCGCCGCAGUAA
rnacentral:rRNA from 1 species